rnacentral:tRNA from 1 species
GCCGCUAUCGUCUAAUGGUCAGGACACCAGGUUUUCAUCCUGGUAACCGGGGUUCAAUUCCCCGUAGCGGUA